GGUCAAGGAGUGUAGCUGUAAAAAAUCAUCAAAAUCGGAGUUAAAAUAACCGUUAAAUCGUGAUUUUUUGUUUAUAACCGUCGAAAAGCUUUGUCCCGUUACUUGAUCUCUGAAUGUUUGUUUUUUGUGAUUUUUUGCUGAUGUGAUCUCGAAGCAUAUACAAACAAGUUUGACGGUUGGGAUCGUUGAAAUUUGUUUCGGAGAAUUCGUAUCCCAUCAAAACAAUAGAUUGACUAACACUUAGAGUUUAUUUAUACUUUCAUUAAGUAUAACAUAAGAUUUUGUGGUAUCCACUUUUGUAAAUAUUUUAAAUUGAAGAUCGAAUUCAUUCAUUGUAUGCAUAUAAGGACAAGGAGUGUAGCUGUAAAAAAUCAUCAAAAUCGGAGUUAAAAUAACCGUUAAAUCGCGAUUUUUCGUUUAUAACUGUUGAAAAGUUUUGUCCCGUUACUUGAUCUCUGAAUGUUUGUUUUUUGUGAUUUUUUUGCUGAUGUGAUCUCGAAGCAUAUACAAACAAAUUUGACAGUUGGGAUCGUUGAAAUUUGUUUCGGAGAAUUCGUAUCCCAUCAAAACAAUAGAUUGACUAACACUUAGAGUUUAUUUAUACUUUCAUUAAGUAUAACAUAAGAUUUUGUGGUAUCCACUUGUGUAAAUAUUUUAAAUUGAAGAUCGAAUUCAUUCAUUGUAUUCAUAUAGGGUCAAUGAGUGUAGCUGUAAAAAAUCAUCAAAAUCGGAGUUAAAAUAACCGUUAAAUCGUGAUUUUUCGUUUAUAACCGUCGAAAAUCUUUGUCCUGUUACUUGAUCUUUGAAUGUUUGUUUUUUGUGAUUUUUUGCUGAUGUGAUCUUGAAGCAUAUACAAACAAGUUUGACGGUCGGGAUCGUGUAAAUUUGUUUCGGAGAAUUCGUAUCCCAUCAAAACAAUAGAUUGAUUAACACUUAGAGUUUAUUUAUACUUUCAUUAAGUAUAACAUAAGAUUUUGUGGUAUCCCUUGUGUAAAUAUUUUAAAUUGAAGAUCGAAUUCAUUCAUUGUAUUCAUAUAGGGUCAAGGAGUGUAGCUGUAAAAAAUCAUCAAAAUCGGAGUUAAAAUAAUCGUUAAAUCGUGAUUUUUCGUUUAUAACCGUCGAAAAGCUUUGUCCCGUUACUUGAUCUCUGAAUGUUUGUUUUUUGUGAUUUUUUGCUGAUAUGAUCUCGAAGCAUAUACAAACAAGUUUGACGGUUGGGAUCGUUGAAAUUUGUUUCGGAGAAUUCGUAUCCCAUCAAAACAAUAGAUUGACUAACACUUAGUUUAUUUAUACUUUCAUUAAGUAUAACAUAAGAUUUUGUGGUAUCCACUUGUGUAAAUAUUUUAAAUUGAAGAUCGAAUUCAUUCAUUGUAUUCAUAUAGGGUCAAGGAGUGUAGCUCUAAAAAAUCAUCAAAAUCGGAGUUAAAAUAACCGUUAAAUCGUGAUAUUUCGUUUAUAACCGUCGAAAAGCUUUGUCCCGUUACUGAUCUCUGAAUGUUUGUUUUUUGUGAUGUGAUCUUGAAGCAUAUACAAACAAGUUUGACGGUUGGGAUCGUUGAAAUUUGUUUCGGAGAAUUCGUAUCCCAUCAAAACA
rnacentral:lncRNA from 1 species